rnacentral:misc_RNA from 1 species
CUCGUAUUAAAGACACUAUAAUAUAUUACUCUCAUUUCAAUCCAUUAAAUACUACUCAAUCCACCAACUUUCUUUUCAAAAAGACAUCCUUUGCUCAACUAUCAACAUCCUUCUUAAUGGGCAUGGCAUCAUAAAGAGAACUGAACAGUCAAUGCCCACUAAAAGUAAAGCAACAAAUAAAUAUAAUAAUUACCAACCAAUAAUUAGCCAUAAGUAUUAUGCAUUAAAGGGUGGACACAAACAAUCACCAACCAAGAAGAUCAACAAUUCCCAAAACGACAUCGCAAAUUUGCUUCAAACCUUUCUCUCUACGUGCAAUCUCCGGCGGAUAAGCCAAUCCUGGGUACCUUUUAAAUGCAUUAUGGCAACCAUUUGGAUAAUCGGCAGCGGCCAUAAUGUGCAUAUAAGCAUAGUCAUAAGAUUCCACGGCUAAGUCUUGAACAGAAGCUUGAAGAGCAUCACCUGCAUAGCUAUACUUAUCGGCACACUCUUUGAGCACCUUCUUCAAGAUUGUGUCGUUUGCACUACUAGGCAAUUGAGAAGACAAAUAAGAAGAUGUAGCUGUGGCAUUAGCUAUUCCAAUACCAAUCAUGAUUAGUGCUAGCCCUUUGGUGUCUGCUUUUGAACUUGUGGCAUUGGAUUUGAGAGAUGAAACACAAAGGUCAUAGUAUUUGGUGUUUUUGCAUGUUUUUUGGAUCAAAUCCAUGUCCCCUUUAACAAAAAUCAGUGGUUGGUGAAAAAUCUGUUGACGGAAUGCUAGGGAGGAGAGAAGAAGGAACAAGAAAAUGGCAGAGGCCCCCAUUAGAGAGAGUGAAGUAGAUUCUAGUCUCUCACUCUUUCUUUGUGGGGAGUCAGAGAGAAGUGAAUGAAGUUUUUA